rnacentral:misc_RNA from 1 species
UACGUAGGUGGCAAGCGUUAUCCGGAAUCAUUGGGCGUAAAGAGCUCGUAGGCGGUUCAACAAGUCGGCUGUGAAAGUCCGAGGCUUAACCUCGGAAUUGCAGUCGAUACUGUUGUGACUCGAGUCCGGUAGAGGAGAAUGGAAUUCCCGGUGUAGCGGUGAAAUGCGCAGAUAUCGGGAGGAACACCAGUAGCGAAGGCGGUUCUCUGGGCCGGCACUGACGCUGAGGAGCGAAAGCGUGGGGAGCAAACAGG